rfam:Gossypium raimondii Chr10_contig_1390, whole genome shotgun sequence.
GAGCUGUGACGAUAGCUGCGCUGUAGCGGAGUUGGGUUCUUCGCAAUCGUCUGAUUUCAAGACGAUAUCAACGGCGCCUCUGAGCUU